rnacentral:rRNA from 1 species
UACGGAGAGGGCUAGCGUUGUUCGGAAUUACUGGGCGUAAAGGGCGCGUAGGCUGUGCUGUAAGUCAGGCGUGAAAGGCCCGGGCUCAACCUGGGAACUGCGUUUGAUACUGCGGCGCUGGAAUGCAGGAGAGGAUGGCGGAAUUCCCAGUGUAGAGGUGAAAUUCGUAGAUAUUGGGAAGAACACCGGUGGCGAAGGCGGCCAUCUGGCCUGCAAUUGACGCUGAGGCGCGAAAGCGUGGGGAGCAAACAGG